rnacentral:rRNA from 1 species
AUACGGAUGGUGCGAGCGUUGUUCGGAAUUACUGGGCGUAAAGGGCGCGUAGGCGGCGAUGUAAGUCAAAUGUGAAAGUCCUCGGCUUAACCGGGGAAGUGCAUCUGAAACUGCACUGCUUGAGUAUGGGAGAGGAAAGUGGAAUUCCCGGUGUAGAGGUGAAAUUCGUAGAGAUCGGGAGGAAUACCGGUGGCGAAGGCGACUUUCUGGACCAAUACUGACGCUGAGGCGCGAAAGCGUGGGGAGCAAACAGUAUUAGAUACCCUAGUAGUCC